rnacentral:rRNA from 1 species
GCAUCUGUGCAUGCAGCAUAUCAAUAAGCGGAGGAAAAGAAACUAACAAGGAUUCCCUUAGUAACGGCGAGUGAAGCGGGAAGAGCUCAAAUUUGAAAUCUUCAAGGUUUUACCUUGACGAAUUGUAGUUUAAAGAAGUGUUUUCUGCUGAAGUUUUGGUAAAAGUUCUUUGGAAUAGGACAUCAUAGAGGGUGAGAAUCCCGUAUUUGACCAUUAUUUUCAGCUUUGUGAUACACUUUCAAAGAGUCGGAUUGUUUGGGAAUGCAGUCCAAAAUGGGUGGUAAAUUUCAUCUAAAGCUAAAUAUUGGCGAGAGACCGAUAGCGAACAAGUACCGUGAGGGAAAGAUGAAAAUAACUUUGAAAAGAGAGUUAAACAGUACGUGAAAUUGUCAAAAGGGAAGCGUUUGACACCAGUGUUGUUUUCUCGAAAAUCAAUUAAAAAUGGCUCGAUUUUGUAUUGCUUGAGACCUUAAAAGCUCACUGUACAUUUUUCGUGUCUUUUUUAAUGCACUUUUCGUUUAACAAGUCAACAUCAGUUUCUUUUGUUGUAAAAGGGUCAUUGGAAGGUGGCUUUCUUUUCGGAGAAAGUGUUUAUAGCCUUUGGCCUCUGCAAUCGGAGAGACUGAGGUCUGCAGCGUAGACUCUUCGGGGUUAGAUACAUUUGUGCUAAGUUAUAGCUUUUUAUAGACAACUUGUUGACUAUAAUUAGUCUUGUAGCUUACUCGCUUAUGCUAUUUUACCUACGCUUAGGAUGUUGACGCAUGAGAUAUACGC